GUUCGGCUGCAGCGCGUGCCGCGUCAGUGUCCGUCUGUGCCCGUCUGAGGCUGCCGCUGAUACCUACAGCACGUCCAUCCGCCGACCUGCCCACUGCACUGGUCACAGGAGAUCGGCUGUGUCCGGAGCCGGACAGGCGGAGCCAUGGCUGCCGGCGGUCGGCUGUGGAUGCUCUGCUGCUGCCUUCUGCUGGCGACGCAUUUGACCGACGCCGGCAAAGGACGGAAGAAGGGUAACGGGGUGAAGGGCUUCCUGUCGGAGCUGCAGACGGUGCUGGACAGUCGGAAGACCAAUAUGGCUAGGAUGGAGGGAUG